GUCAAAGAUGAAAACCUGGAAUAGGAAGUGCCGUCUGAUUCGACAACUGACGACUUUUCCCAUACUUUCUGAGU